UACGUAGGGUGCGAGCGUUAAUCGGAAUUACUGGGCGUAAAGCGUGCGCAGGCGGUGAUGUAAGACAGGUGUGAAAUCCCCGGGCUUAACCUGGGAACUGCAUUUGUGACUGCAUCGCUGGAGUGCGGCAGAGGGGGAUGGAAUUCCGCGUGUAGCAGUGAAAUGCGUAGAUAUGCGGAGGAACACCGAUGGCGAAGGCAAUCCCCUGGGCCUGCACUGACGCUCAUGCACGAAAGGCGUGGGGAGCAAACAGG
rnacentral:rRNA from 1 species